rnacentral:rRNA from 1 species
UACAGAGGUCCCAAGCGUUGUUCGGAUUCAUUGGGCGUAAAGGGUGCGUAGGCGGCAGGGUAAGUUGGAUGUGAAAUCCUGGGGCUUAACCUCAGAAUUGCAUUCAAUACUGCCUUGCUAGAGAGCUGUAGAGGAGACUGGAAUUUACGGUGUAGCAGUGAAAUGCGUAGAUAUCGUAAGGAACGCCAGUGGCGAAAGCGAGUCUCUGGGCAGCAUCUGACGCUGAGGCACGAAGGCCAGGGGAGAAAACGGG